GGCUAGGCCUAGGCCUGCAGUAAAUAUGGCCCAGAGCACAUGGCAGGGAAAGUUGUGUAGCUAGGCUGUCAAUAAGGUCUGCCUGGUGGCCCACCCAUACUGUGCCCCCUAAUUGUCUGUGGUACCCCUCACUUUGGCAAGUGGGACCAUGAGUGGUCAGUAAACCAAAAGUCCGGGCUAGAGGGAGUGGCCACAACAGCCAAAGUCUAUAAACAGACACGCAGGAGGUUUCCAUGUUGCCUUGGCCUGUAGUUCUCCUUGCCAGUCAACUUGUGACCUUUUAAAUGAAGAAACAUGCUUGAGUCAAUUUAGAACAUUUAUACCUAAAUGACAUUCAUGUACAGAGAGUUGUUCACAUAUGUAGCAGCAUUAUAAAUGCUGCAUGUUUCAUUGGAACUCCAUGAAUCACUGACAGUUCGCUUUUAAAGGUUCUGCUUCACUACAGAAAGGAAGGAAGCAAGCGAAUAAGGAAGACCCAAACACCUAAAACCAGGAAUAAAAAAACCUUUAUGCUCAUCCUAUUGACACUUAGAGCUCCACUAACUUUAAUACAUUAUUCUGAUGUAUACCAGAACAAGAGAAGAACCACAUUAAGCGUACCUCCAACUGCACUCCCUUCCCUCUGUGCACACUUGUAUGCUACUGGCUCCUUUGCCCUAGAAGUGGUUCUCCAGUCUUCUCUUUGUCACAGCACAAAGACAAUCCCAAGGCGGUCCUGAAGUUCAUUUGCUGAGGUUAUACAGGGCACUGAGUACCCUGAUAUCAACGUACUGAAUAUAAGGUGCUGUUGGAACUCCAUCUUUGAGUUUAAAAUUUUCUCAUAAAA